UACGGGGGGGGCAAGCGUUGUUCGGAAUUACUGGGCGUAAAGGGCUCGUAGGCGGCCAACUAAGUCGGACGUGAAAUCCCCAGGCUCAACCUGGGAACUGCGUCCGAUACUGGAUGGCUUGAAUCCGGGAGAGGGAUGCGGAAUUCCAGGUGUAGCGGUGAAAUGCGUAGAUAUCUGGAGGAACACCGGUGGCGAAGGCGGCAUUCUGGACUGUAACUGACACUGAGGAACGAAAGCCAGGGGAGCAAACGGG
rnacentral:rRNA from 1 species